AGAAACCUCCUCGCUUUGGAGGACAUGAUGCUAAUUCUCAAGACUUGAUGUCAGAAUCAGAGGAAGUAAAAUAGGAAAAGCAGCCAGCCCAGCACCUAGACCACGAUCCUAAUUGCAUAUUCCAGGAUGAUCCGUCCACCACUGGAAACUUCAGGGCCUGUUACUGAACAUUCCAGUUCUCAGCUCCUGUGAGUAGCAUCCAUUACCC